GGGAAACACCAACAUUGUUACUAUUUAUCGUUCCCACCAAACCUUCAUUCUUCCUUCUCUCUCAAAUAUUCCAAUACAAAAGUUCAGAAAAUUCCCCAAAUCUACCCAACAACCUUGCAUGCGGGAAUCUGCCUCAUCAUCCUUGCGAAAAACUCAAAUUAGUAAAGCGGAGGAAACCAUCUGCAAGAGGAGCUCGGAGCUAAUUCGAAUCAAAAUCACAUUCCUCUUUGUAGAUAUUUUCUUGUGUUAUGUUACAUUAACUUAUUUUUAGCAUGAGGGUUAUUGGGGUUAUUCAUUAAAAUACUUUAUUUAUUGUUAGAAAUUAUUUUAUGGGAAUUUUACGGGUUACAAG
rnacentral:lncRNA from 1 species